rnacentral:lncRNA from 1 species
UUUUGUUUGUUUAUUUUGCUUUGUUUUUUGUUUCCUCUUAAGUAGUGGCCAGAAGAAAAAUAAUUUUCCAAGGAAAGUCAAGCAGGAGCUGCCCACUUGAGCUUUCUUCCUGCUCCCUUUCCCGAAAAGAAUGGAACUCUUAGUAAGCUGUGGAAAGAGCUCGGAGUGCUCUGUGCUGCAGAAGCUGCAAGGAGCUACAGGCAAUGCACAGAGGCAGCGUUUGGGCCUGAACUGCACCGAACAAAAGGCAGGACUCUCCCUCUUCAUCCCUUCGAGAGGCCCUGACCAUCUCCUUUUCUUACUGCAAGCUGCACAGCAAUGACUCUAAAGUGCUUGAGGACUAGAUCCUCCAUCCACCUGAAAGGAACAUGACAAUCUGAGCAAAUAUUCCAUUAAGUAAGGCUACGAUUUCCAGGUGGGAGGAAUGGAGACUGCCAGCAGAAGUGGCAUCAGCUCAUCCAGAACAGCUCUGAUCUCCCUGUCUCCCCUUUGUGUGUGCUCUGGGGUUGGCCUAAGGACCGAACUGCUCAGUGGAUUUCUUCCUGACAGAUGACCUUUCUGGUAACUGGGGAAUCUCUCAAAGUAUCUCAGUUGUCACUUGGCCCCAUCUUUUGUAUAAUAUUAACAAGGUCUUUCAAGCCUUCUCACAUAAAAUUACUUUCAGAUAGCUCCAGUAGGUUUUCUUUCCCCUCCUUUUCCCUUUCUCCUUUCCAUGGGUGAGUAUUCCUUGCCUUUAAUGCCAUUGGCGUGUGUCACUGGCAAAGCAAAUUCACUACUGGCACUGUGGGCCUGCCGACUGGUCACUGCCUUUUUGCUGGAGGUGGGAGGAUAGUCCUCCCUUGGGAUGGGGUCUGAUUCUGAUGAUCCUCUUCUUAUAUGUGGCUCCCAACCGUGUGGCUCUGCAGGUAUUUUGAAUACUCUUUUGCUAAGCAGAGUUCAGAUUGGAAAGGAUACUGGAUCAGAGAUGCAGAGCAGCUUGAUACUGACAGAUGUUAACACAAAAGCUUGAAAGGGAGAUGGUUUCAGCCUGGCAGAUCCUGGUUGGGUUUGCCUAG